UCUGUUUUUUCACUUGUUUUGGACCAAGAUGUGCAACCCAAAUUAGCCCUCACUUACCCUGAGCUUUACAAGGAACUUGCAAAGGGGCGAUCUCUGUCUUUCAAGACAUUCUUCAUGUGGGUGUUGAUUAGCAUUUAUCAAGGUGGAAUUAUUAUGUAUGGAGCACUGUUGCUGUUUGAAGACAAGUUUAUCCACAUUGUUUCCAUCAGUUUUACCUCCUUGAUUCUGACGGAGCUGCUGAUGGUUGCUUUGACAGUACGCACUUGGCACUGGUUAAUGAUUGCUGCUGAAAUUCUUAGCUUGAGCAUAUAUGUUGCCUCGCUUUUUGCUCUCUAUGAGUUUUUUGAUACCCAAUUCAUUCGAACACCUGCAUUUCUGUGGAAAGUUACGGUGAUCACGUUGGUGAGCUGUUUACCGCUCUACGUUCUGAAGUACCUUCAUCGUAAAGCUGCUCCGUCUAUCUACUCCAAGCUCACGUGACACAAUUCCUGCGGACUGCCUGUAUGUGAAGUGCUUUACGUUCAGAAUUUUUUUUUGGGCGUUGCAAAUAUGUUGCUUUUUUGCUAGCUUGGCUGGCCUAAUUUAACAGCCGUGUUGGCUAUAAUGAUGUGUUUACCCAGUGAAGUAUGUCUGGGGGGUAAUUAUAAAAUUCAACCUCGUAAUUAUCGAUUGAGUUAUUGAUGUCGCUCUAAUUGAUGUUGUUUUUUGUGUUUUUGAUUCUUUUUGUCGUUGUAUUGGGACAAUGUUGAAAUAUUCUAGUGCAAGCGAAUAUUGACUAUUCCUUGCAACAUGGUUAAGGUGCACUUUAUUGUGUUGUUUAUUAAAGAUUGAAGUGGAAGUUUUUAUGACCAUGUAGCUUUGUGUGUGUGUGUGUGUGUGUGUGUGUAUGUGUGUGUGUGUGUGUGUGUGUGUGUGUGUGUGCUUUGGUACUGUUAUGUCUUUGGUGCUUUCGCUGCUGUGUGUAAAGUUUUUGUUCGAGACCACUAUUAUUGAGGGGUUUUUGGGCAAACAAACACUGCUGAUACAUUAGUCGCACAUUGAUAGUUGUGUAGGCAAGAGACCGCACCUUCAUAUUCUACAAAAAACAGCUUAAGGAGAUCAUGACACCCAGUUUUCGCUCAUAAUCUGUGUUAUGUGGGUUCACAAACAAGCUGGCUGAAUUUCAGCACAUUUGUCAAAGACACGGUUUAUAAUGAGAAUUUUUGUAAACGCCCGAGCGGCCCGAGAGUAUGAGGUGCAUCGCGCUAAUUGCGGAACUGCGGCUGGGCGCACCUGCACGGUGCAUCCUCUCAGCUCUUCGUGGACUGAUGAAGAUGACAAUCGUUUGCCUUUGGAAUAAACCUUGUUUUUCUUGUGGUC